CACGGCGCACGGGUGCGUAACACGUGGGCAAUCUGCCCUUCGAUGGGGAAUAACUCCGGGAAACCGAAGCUAAUUCCGCAUAACAUUCCCUCCGGCAAAGUCCCGUCGAAGGAGGAGCCCGCGCCCGAUUAGCUAGUUGGGGAGGUAACGGCUCACCAAGGCAAUGAUCGGUAGCUGGUCUGAGAGGAUGGCCAGCCACACUGGAACUGAGACACGGUCCAGACUCCUACGGGAGGCAGCAGUGGGGAAUCUUGCACAAUGGGCGAAAGCCUGAUGCAGCGACGCCGCGUGGGGGAUGAAGCAUUUCGGUGUGUAAACCCCUUUCGACCGGGAAGAAUGACGGUACCGGUAUAAGAAGCCCCGGCUAACUACGUGCCAGCAGCCGCGGUAAGACGUAGGGGGCCAGCGUUGUUCGGAAUUACUGGGUGUAAAGGGUUCGUAGGCGGUGUGGCAAGUCGGGAGUGAAAUCUAUGGGCUUAACCCAUAGGCUGCUUCCGAAAC
rnacentral:rRNA from 1 species